UUAUGAAUGCAAAGAGCAAGCCAAUAUACCAGGAGCUGUAGAGGAAGUACGUAAGACAGGCCUCGAAGGAUGGUGUCGACAUCCGCAUCAUUGCCGCAUCUGAGGGACAUCAGAUGAGUGAAAAUGAAUGGCAGCGAUAUGAAAAGGAAUAAACAUAUUGUCAAAAGAGCACAUCUUGACUAGGCCAUUUUGCCGCUGAAAAACAGAUAGACCACCAUGUAUCUUCACUGAGGGUUGCAGCAAUCGAUGGAGAUCAAGGUUCCCAGGAGACUUCCACCGAGAGGGUCGAGCUAUUGGUGACAUGAAAGAGUGGAAGGUAGUUUUAGUAUUCAUUAGUCUGCAAACAAGUAGUAUUAAUUUUUAUUUGUCCUGCUAUUAGUAGCUCCCUUUUUUAUAUCUGCAAGUAGGUACCGCCGAAGAUUGCUAUGAUGCAAUUUAUUAAAGAAUUUUCUAGAGAUGCUUUCACAGCUCAUCACGUAGAUUCAAUCUCAGAAGAGGAUCUAAUUUGGCCACUGCUAUGUUGAAUAUGCUUUGGAUUGGUAAGUAUAUAUUUUGCACAUUACGGGAAAAGGA